ensembl:lncRNA
UUUGUUUAUUUAUACAACUGAUUAAUCUGUUAUCACUGUGAUUCCUCUAAUAAGAGAGACAAAUAUCAACAUUUAAAGGAGAUGUAUGUACUGCUUGCAUAGUUCCAUCUGAGCCACUUACUUAAUCCCAUUCUUUAACUUUGAUUUUUGGUUGAGUUGGAGACGUGAACCCAACCUAUCAUUUGUUAACUUGUAAGUUAUCAGGAUAUUUACUGUAUUUCAAAAGUUAUAUUUAAUUGUGUUUGGUUGGUAACGCAACCAAAAACCAACAUUUGAAGGGGAUUUAUCUUCUGCUUGGAUAGUUCCAUCUGUGCCACUGACUUAGUCUGGGUUUAAUUCCAGUUUGUCUAACAAAUGAAUCAUUUAUAUGUUGGAUUAAAGUCUCCAUCUCAACCAAAAAUCUAACUAAAAGAUUAGGACUGAAUCAAAUCAAACUUUAAAUGCUCUUUAAAUAAAGUUUAAUUUGAUUUACUCCUAUUGUUUAACUUACAUUUUUGGUUGAGAUGGAGGUGUGAAUUCAACAUAUCAGUUAUUAAAUUGUAGACCAAAUGGAAUUAAAGGCAAACUAAGUCAGUGGCACAAAUGGAGCUAUCCAAGCAGAAUGUAAAUUAUAUUUUGGUCGUCAACUAAAGAUAAUUCAAUAUUACUUUUGUAAUAAAGUAAAUAGCCUGAAGUUAAGUUACAUUAAAGUUAAUGUAACAUUCAACCUUUAAAUGAGUAACACGGCCACAUUCUGAGGUUAUUGUAACUAUAUAUUGUCUUGUGUAAUCAUAUAAAGUCAGCAUGUUCACAAUAAUCUGUGCAGAAUCUCGAACAGCACUGAUCACUUGCACCAUGACAUUUUAAUGUCUACUCAAAAUUGGAAUGUAAUAUAUAGUCUAUAUACUGUAUCUCUGAGCAAAGAUACAGGGUCACUGCAGUGUGUUUGAGGGAUUGUUACCAUAUGUUGAAGAUUAUAUAUUAUUCAUUAAUUAAUUCACAAUCAAAAUGUUUUAAUGGAGAAGAGUGUCGUGCCUCCACCACUUUUUAUGGGUCAUUUAAUAUCAUAGAAUGUAAAAAGUGAACAGCCCGCUAUACAAGCAUUUAGCUAGGUAUUACUGUUGGAGCUAGAAACACAAGCAUUUAGCUAGGUAUUACUGUUGGAGCUAGAAACACAAGCAUUUAGCUAGGUAUUACUGUUGGAGCUAGAAACACAAGCAUUUAGCUAGGUAUUACAGUACUGUUGGAGCUAGAAACACAAGCAUUUAGCUAGGUAUUACAGUACUGUUGGAGCUAGAAACACAAGCAUUUAGCUAGGUAUUACAGUACUGUUGGAGC